GAUGAACGCUAGCGGCAGGCUUAAUACAUGCAAGUCGAGGGGCAGCAUGGUUGUAGCAAUACAACUGAUGGCGACCGGCAAACGGGUGCGGAACACGUACGCAAUCUACCCAAAACUGAUGAAUAGCCCUCCGAAAGGAGGAUUAAUACAUCGUAACAUAAUUGAAUGGCAUCAUUUAAUUAUUAUAGCUCCGGCGGUUUUGGAUGAGCGUGCGCCUGAUUAGGUAGUUGGCGGGGUAACGGCCCACCAAGCCUGCGAUCAGUAACUGGUGUGAGAGCACGACCAGUCACACGGGCACUGAGACACGGGCCCGACUCCUACGGGAGGCAGCAGUAAGGAAUAUUGGUCAAUGGACGCAAGUCUGAACCAGCCAUGCCGCGUGAAGGAUGAAGGUCCUCUGGAUUGUAAAC
rnacentral:rRNA from 1 species